AUCUGCGUGGUGGUGAAGGUCAUCAGUUCCCUAUUUGGGACGUUCGCCUCUCGCCUUACGGACAUUAUUUUCUCAGUUGCUUGCAUGGCAAAACCGCCCGACUGUGGUCCACGAAUUCCUACCAGCCACUGAGAAUCUUUGUGGGGCACCUAUCCGACGUUGAUGUGUGCAUUUUCCAUCCGAAAUCAAUCUACGUAGCUACCGGGCACCGGCGUUUUCCAUUUGCGGUCGCUAUCUGGCCUCAGGUUCGGUUGAUUGUCGUGUCUGGUUUGGGACCUAGCCAAUGAUCAUCUAAUCGCGGCUCUCUGCGGUCACUCGGCGUCGCACUAUGCUUCAGCUGUAAUGGAACCUUGCUGGCUACCGGCGGACUUUUCCAAAUUGUGCGAAGAUAUCAGCGGAAAGCAACCCGUUCCUGUGAUAUUGUGGUACCCGGCUGAUGCUGAUGGAGAUAGGAAGAAGAUUUUUGACAGGAAGGCUUAAACAAUCGUUCGGCAGAAGAAUCAGCAAGCGCAUCCAUAGAACCGACACGACCCAGAAUUAAUGUUUGAGGACCAUAUAAAAGACUAUUUGAACCAUCAAAAGACUUCAAGGCGAACGUUGCCGAAGUACUCGGAGAGAAACUUUUGAAGACGGCACUCGUAGAGACGGUGAUAAAAAAGCCCACCUAGGGGCUGAGAAUGACCUCUUGACUACAGGAGCGAAAAAAGCAAUGCGACAGACAGCGUCAGUGCAUCGAAGUGGAAAAGUCUCGUCAUGAAGCGGAUGAACGACGGCUGGCUGAGGAAGGAGAAUAAAACUGCUGGGCAAACAGAAAGAAUACACAUCCAUUCCGGUUACGCUGUUUGGAACCUGAGAAACCACGAUUCUGGCAACGAGCUGACUGACGAAAAAACAGUGCCGGAAGUUGGAUACACCCUAGAUACACAGGAAAGUUUCAGUUUAGUUAGGAGUUUUGUUGUUGAAUGGGAAGGAUCUCAGGUCGUUGGACAGAGGCCUUCCUACACGUCUUAAAAUGCAAUGUAUGAUGCAACCACACAUUGGCACAAUUUCAGUUGCACAAAACAGUUCUUAACGGUGCCAACGCAAGGAUUUUGCACUGGCUGAAGAUGACUUGUAGCAUCUC